rnacentral:rRNA from 1 species
CCUACGGGAGGCAGCAGUGAGGAAUAUUGGUCAAUGGUUGGGAGACUGAACCAGCCAAGCCGCGUGAGGGAUGAAGGUACAGAGUAUCGUAAACCUCUUUUGUCAGGGAACAAAGGCGGGGACGUGUCCCCGGAUGAGUGUACCUGAAGAAAAAGCAUCGGCUAACUCCGUGCCAGCAGCCGCGGUAAUACGGAGGAUGCGAGCGUUAUCCGGAUUUAUUGGGUUUAAAGGGUGCGCGGGCGGUCUGUUAAGUCAGCGGUAAAAGCCCGGGGCUCAACCCCGGCCCGCCGUUGAAACUGGCAGUCUCGAGUUGGAGAGAAGUAUGCGGAAUGCGCGGUGUAGCGGUGAAAUGCAUAGAUAGCGCGCAGAACUCCGAUUGCGAAGGCAGCAUGCCGGCUCCACACUGACGCUGAGGCACGAAAGCGUGGGUAUCGAACAGGAUUAGAUACCCGAGUAGUC